rnacentral:rRNA from 1 species
UACAGAGGCCCCGAGCGUUACUGAGAAUCACUGGGCUUAAAGGGUGCGUAGGUGGUCCGUUAAGUUCGUUGUGAAAGCCCUGGGCUCAACCCAGGAACUGCUUCGAAUACUGGCGGACUUGAGGCUAGUAGGGGUUACUGGAACUGACGGUGGAGCGGUGAAAUGCGUAGAUAUCGGCAGGAACGCCAAUGGUGAAGACAGGUAACUGGGCUAGUUCUGACACUGAGGCACGAAAGCGUGGGGAGCGAACGGG